rnacentral:lncRNA from 1 species
AAGCAUACAAGCAUUACCCAGACAAAAUGGGCGUUUGUCACCUGGGCUUUCUACCAAUGCCAUAGGCAGGAGAAGUCAGCAUGGGAAGCAUCCGUGAGAGCCCUGCAAAAGACUGGUGAGAGUUCCCCUGGUGGCCUCCUUUGGCAAUCUCAGGUCUCUGUAAGCUCUCAAGCUGUGUCGUAAGUCCUCCCGUGGUGCUGACUCAGCUCUCCCUGUCUUUGGUGUAGGAGAGCUGGACUUCAGCUCCUUCCUGUUUCCUGCCUAUCUGCUCCCUGCUUUGCCCAUGGCCCAGUGAGCCUUUUAUUCUUCACCCCCGGACUUGCACGUGUGGAUAACAGCAUCUGCUUAUGUGCGCUUCUUUUCUGCUUGUGGUGACAGGCUGAGCGACAGCUCCCAGCCGAGCUUGUGCUUAGCGAGACACAGAGUAGCUGGAGAUGGAGUUCUCUGUGUCACUAAAGCAUGAGCUUGAUGGCUGCCGUGAGACAAAGUGAGAGAGUUUCUGUGUUUGAUUUCUGUGUUGGGCUGAGCGGGUGGAGCAGGGCAAGGGGGCUGAUUUGGACAUGCUGCUUUCCAAAUACGGUGCUGUUUGUGUGGCAAGUGCUUCUGGCAUUCCAAAUUCUGUCAGAUGUCAAUGAAUUCCUUGGAAUCUGCUGAGUUGACUUGUGCAGGUUUCAUUCUGGAGCUGAACCCUUCCUGGCCGCUUCUGUGCAUAGCCAUGGCUGUUGCUUCUUUCUUGCCUCCUUUCUUUGUUGUGUUUGGCACUGUGCAAGCCGUGAAUUGCCAGGGAGCAGCUGAAAGUGCUCUGGAGUUGUGGGGGGCAAACUGCCAAGAAACAAGGUGCAGCUUCAAAGCCCCGAAGUUUGGAGAGAUGAGAGAUGCACAGCGCUCUGCCUGGUGCAGGACAUGAUGUGCUCUGCAAGGCGCUUUCCACAGAGCCCUCACGUCCUUUCUCAAACUGCAUCCAAAGCAACCCAGUGCCCUGUGCUUGUUGUACCCGGAGGUAUCGGUGCCAGGAGUUGCUGCUGUGUUUGCAAUGCCAUUGUGUCGGCAGGGUGACGUUAAUGGGCUGCAAUGCCCUCAGUCAUUCAAAGCAUGCUUGCAGAUGUUCCUAGUGAGGGGCAUGUUUCAUUGACACCAUAGGUUGUUUUCUGGAAAAUGAAAGAGUGGGCUUGCGUACCUCCAGAUGGUUUUCAUUUCCUGCUGAGCCCAUGCACUUCACGUCUGCUGCCAUUGCCCCACGGCCCUGUUGUGGUUUAAGCCGGUGGGUGGCUCAGCACCACACAGU